UGGGGAAUAUUGGACAAUGGGCGAAAGCCUGAUCCAGCCAUGCCGCGUGUGUGAAGAAGGUCUUCGGAUUGUAAAGCACUUUAAGUUGGGAGGAAGGGCAGUUACCUAAUACGUGAUUGUUUUGACGUUACCGACAGAAUAAGCACCGGCUAACUCUGUGCCAGCAGCCGCGGUAAUACAGAGGGUGCAAGCGUUAAUCGGAAUUACUGGGCGUAAAGCGCGCGUAGGUGGUUAGUUAAGUUGGAUGUGAAAUCCCCGGGCUCAACCUGGGAACUGCAUUCAAAACUGACAAGCUAGAGUAUGGUAGAGGGUGGUGGAAUUUCCUGUGUAGCGGUGAAAUGCGUAGAUAUAGGAAGGAACACCAGUGGCGAAGGCGACCACCUGGACUGAUACUGACACUGAGGUGCGAAAGCGUGGGGAGCAAACAGGAUUAGAUACCCAUGUAGUCCCUGAGCGGGCUGGCAAGGCGCAU
rnacentral:rRNA from 1 species